UGUGAUGAACUAGGAAUGUUCUUAAUGUUUUCUCUGAAUACUGUGGGGGCCUCAGUUCCUGGCCGACCCUCUGUCUCCUGGCAACUAAUGGCCAGGCCCUUUCUCCCUGCAAG